CCUACGGGGGGCUGCAGUAACGAAUCUUCCCCAAUGCACGCAAGUGUGAGGGAGCGACGCCGCGUGGAGGACCAAGUCCUUCGGGAUGUAAACUCCUGUCAGGGGCUACCAAGUUCUGAGGAGCCCCAGAGGAAGGCACGGCUAACUCUGUGCCAGCAGCCGCGGUAAGACAGAGGUGCCAAGCGUUAGGCGGAAUCACUGGGCUUAAAGCGUGUGUAGGCGGAGCGUUAAGUGCCUUGUGAAAUCCCACGGCUCAACCGUGGAACUGCUGGGCAUACUGGCGUUCUUGAGCUGGCCAGGGGUCGUCGGAACAAACGGUGGAGCGGUGAAAUGCGUAGAUAUCGUUUGGAACGCCAAAGGCGAAAGCAGACGACUGGGGCCAAGCUGACGCUGAGACACGAAAGCCAGGGGAGCAAACGGGAUUAGAUACCCCUGUAGUC
rnacentral:rRNA from 1 species